UAACUGAGCGUUCAGUUACUUGACGUAGACCCGAAACCGGGCGACCUACCCAUGAGCAGGAUGAAGCGAAAGUAAAAUUUCGUGGAGGUCCGAACCCACGAGCGUUGAAAAGCUCGGGGAUGACUUGUGGGUAGCGGUGAAAUUCCAAUCGAGCCCGGAGAUAGCUGGUUCUCCCCGAAAUAGCUUUAGGGCUAGCCUCAAGGUGAGAGAUACGGAGGUAGAGCACUGAAUGUCCUAGGGGGUAUUGCACCUACCGAAGACUAUCAAACUCCGAAUGCCGUCAUCUUAUACUUGGGAGUCAGACUGUGGGUGAUAAGAUUCAUAGUCGAAAGGGCAACAGCCCAGAUCGUCAGCUAAGGUCCCUAAAUGUAAGUUAAGUGGUAAAGGAUGUGGGAUUGCACAGACAACCAGGAUGUUGGCUUAGAAGCAGCCACUCAUUCAAAGAGUGCGUAAUAGCUCACUGGUCGAGUGAUCCUGCGCCGAAGAUUUCCGGGGCUAAAACUUACUACCGAAGCUACGGCAUCAGUAAUGAUGGGUAGGGGAGCUUCCCAUACGGGUUGAAGCAUGACCGUAAGGACAUGUGGACAGUAUGGGAGUGAGAAUGUUGGCAUGAGUAGCGAGAUGUGGGUGGGAAUCCCACAGGCCGUAAACCCAAGGUUUCCAGGGGAAGGUUCGUCCGCCCUGGGUUAGUCGGGACCUAAGCUGAGGC
rnacentral:rRNA from 1 species